rnacentral:tRNA from 1 species
GCUCUUGUAGUUUAAUGGAUAGAACAGUGGCUUGCGGAGCCACCGGUCUAGGUUCGAUUCCUGGCGAGAGCACAA